rnacentral:misc_RNA from 1 species
GAAAGGGACCGAAUUAUGUUGUCUAAGGGUGAACAUCAAACGGUCCCAUUAUCUGUGUUGUUGAAGCGUGAAUUGGCUAAUGAGAAGAUUGAAAGUCCGGAGCUUUCUCAUGGUCAAGCUAGUCAGAGCAAAAAAGGAGAAGAUUUUACGUUUGUCAAGACGGAAUGCCAAAGAGUUUUGGGUGAUGGAGUAGCUACAUAUUCUGUUUUUGGAUUAUUUGAUGGGCACAAUGGGUCAGCGGCUGCAAUAUAUUCUAAAGAAAAUCUCUUGCAGAAUGUCUUGAGUGCUAUUCCUCCUGAUCUUAGUAGAGAUGAAUGGGUUGCAGCACUUCCUAGAGCUUUGGUUGCA